rnacentral:tRNA from 1 species
GCCUGGGUGGCUCAGUAGGUUGAGCGUCAGACUCCGGCUCACAUCAUGAUCUCACAUUUUGUGGGUUCAAGCCCCACAUCAGGCU